rnacentral:rRNA from 1 species
UUGAUGAACGCUGGCGGCGUGCUUAACACAUGCAAGUCGAACGAAGCGCUUAAACGGAUUUCUUCGGAUUGAAGUUUUUGCGACUGAGUGGCGGACGGGUGAGUAACGCGUGGGUAACCUGCCUCAUACAGGGGGAUAACAGUUAGAAAUGACUGCUAAUACCGCAUAAGCGCACAGUGCUGCAUGGCACAGUGUGAAAAACUCCGGUGGUAUGAGAUGGACCCGCGUCUGAUUAGCUAGUUGGUGGGGUAACGGCCUACCAAGGCGACGAUCAGUAGCCGGCCUGAGAGGGUGAACGGCCACAUUGGGACUGAGACACGGCCCAAACUCCUACGGGAGGCAGCAGUGGGGAAUAUUGCACAAUGGGGGAAACCCUGAUGCAGCGACGCCGCGUGAGCGAAGAAGUAUUUCGGUAUGUAAAGCUCUAUCAGCAGGGAAGAAAAUGACGGUACCUGACUAAGAAGCACCGGCUAAAUACGUGCCAGCAGCCGCGGUAAUACGUAUGGUGCAAGCGUUAUCCGGAUUUACUGGGUGUAAAGGGAGCGUAGACGGUUGUGUAAGUCUGAUGUGAAAGCCCGGGGCUCAACCCCGGGACUGCAUUGGAAACUAUGUAACUAGAGUGUCGGAGAGGUAAGCGGAAUUCCUAGUGUAGCGGUGAAAUGCGUAGAUAUUAGGAGGAACACCAGUGGCGAAGGCGGCUUACUGGACGAUCACUGACG